rnacentral:snoRNA from 22 species
UUAGCAUGAUGAGUAACUAGAUAGGGACAACAGAUAUCCUUUAAGUGACGAGGAAAGUCUAUUUAAAUGCCCAGUUUUUAGUAGAGCUUGGGCGCAAAACCUGAUC